UCAGCCACAUUGGGACUGAGACACGGCCCAAACUCCUACGGGAGGCAGCAGUGGGGAAUAUUGGACAAUGGGCGAAAGCCUGAUCCAGCAAUGCCGCGUGUGUGAAGAAGGUCUUCGGAUUGUAAAGCACUUUCGACGGGGACGAUGAUGACGGUACCCGUAGAAGAAGCCCCGGCUAACUUCGUGCCAGCAGCCGCGGUAAUACGAAGGGGGCUAGCGUUGCUCGGAAUGACUGGGCGUAAAGGGCGCGU
rnacentral:rRNA from 1 species